AAUCUCUGGAGAACAGGCCCUGACAACAUACUUUGGAAAGCUCUUCAGGUGAUUCUGCACCAUAGCCAAGGAUAUGAACCACUGAUGGAAAAGCCUGAGACUACAUGAACACUCAGUAAAGAAGCUGAUGGCAGCUGGAUUAGUGAUGUGCCCAUCUCACUUUCUCUCAGAUGUGUCCAGCUCUUCGUGAUCCCAUGGACUGCAGCCUGCCAGGCUACUCUGUCCAUGCAAUUCUUCAGGCGAGAAUACGGGAGUGGGUUGCCAUGACCUCCUCCAGGGGAUCUUCCCAACCCAAGGAUCGAACCUGCAUCUCUGGCAUCUCCUGUAUUGGCAGCUAAAGAAAACAGAAGAUCGAGACAGGCUAAGUGAAGAUCACAAAGCCAGUCAAUGUGGAGCUGAAUCUGAGACUGAGGACUUCUAAUGCUUGGUUCAAAGAGCAAGCAGGAGAUAAAAUAGUAGCGUACUGGAUUCAUUAAA
ensembl:lncRNA